UGUAAAGCUUGUUGGAGUGGAAGAAGAGAUCAUGUGGGAGUGGAAGCAUGAUUUCCAUUCUGUGGUCAAACAAAUCUGAAGUCCUUGUUGUGAAAUGACAGUUUAAACUAAAAGUCUCAUCACAGUCGAUGUGUCCCACGUGCGAACAGUCCAUCAUAAAUAUCACCUAAUAAAGACAACUGCAACAUGGUCCAGUGCACAGAGUUACUGCCGGGAGAAGUACACUGACCUGGCAACAGUAGUAACUGAUGAUGAUUGGGUGGAUAUUGGUUAGAUACAAGUUGUGCUCAGCUGAGACCUUUCAUAUGCUACAAUGCUAAUUUCAGUGGUGCUUCCAGGUUCAUCGGCAUCUCUAGUCCUUAUUUGACCUGGACAGAUGCUCUGGCUUACUGUCGAACACAUCACACAGACUUGCCCAGCUCUCUUAACAGCUUACUAUUAAAGGUGAGGGACAUCCAGGGUGAUUCCUGGAUUGGACUCUACAGAGACACAUGGAAGUGGUCAGAUGGGACCAUUGCUUCAAACCUACUCUGGGCUUCCGGAGCACCCGAUAAUUCUGGAGGAGUUGAGAACUGUGCAGUGGUGUUCAAUGAUGUACCCUGCACCAACAUGUAUUAUUUCUUCUGUCACACCAUUCUACCAGUGAGGGAACAGCAGAUAGUGAGACUGCAGGUGAAGUCUGAUGGCAGUGUGUUAGAUCCUGCUGUACAGUCGUCUAUUUUAGAGCAGAUGAAGCAGAAACUGGAGGAAUAUGGCAUGUUGGAGAACACCACACUGACCUGGCAGGUGCAGCCAGAUGAAAACAUUUUCCAGAAGAACGAUGAUCUGUAAUGUAAAAAAGAUUGCAAACUGACAGAAAAGUUAACAUUUAAGCUUUAAAUCAGUAGGAGGAACAGCAAAUGUUAUUUUUAUGAUAGAUGUUUAACAUACAGCUUUUUCUGCAAAUGGCCACUCGACAUGGAUGAUGAUGGACGAGAACAUGUUAAAAUACUGGAUAACUGGGUUUAAUGUAUCAGUGUGUCAUAGCAGAAUAUGUUUUACAUAGAACGUAAUAGAACUUGUUAAUAAACACUGUGUGUGUGUGUGUGUGUGUGUGUUUGUGGUGGCUGGGGCUUAAAAAAUGUGGGGGUUGGGGGGAAACAAACUUAAAAUCAAUAGUAAUGCAGGACUGUUUUAUCAAUUGAUUAUGUAUAAUUACUGCUAAGAUAAAAUGUAGAAAAAGUCAACUUUUAAAGCAUGCAAUAAAUCUACUAUGAAUCAGUGAAUUUGAGUUCAGUGGGGGUUUAUUAUCAGUAAUGAGGUAAUGAAGGUAAUCAUUAAAACACACACACACACACACACACAGAAACACUGUAAAGUUGCCUAAUCACUUGACUGCUGCUGAAUUUGCAGAUUGGGUCAACCUGGUCCAAGCUCAUUGAUUCUUUUCUUCAUUAGAACUCCUUAUGAAACGGUAUUUUUAUAAAGAAAUAACUGAAUUUUCUUUCAUCUGGAGACAUUUCGCUUGCUACUAAUCUGCUGAGCGGUAAUGAGACUCGUUGAGAAUGGUUUUAUCAUUAGAGGUCAAAUAUAUAAAAACAAUAUUGAUUCACUAACAGCAAAAGUGGGCGGGUCCAGGGUGUAGCACUCUGCAAAACUGUUGUGACUGUCAGGAAAAUUUGACUAACAGUGUAAUAGUAUGACUAAAUAAUUUUAUUUCGUUAUUAAAAUAUUAAAUUAUUGUUAAUGUGUUAAAGUAGUAUUCUUCCCUGGCAAGCUUUAAGGGGGUGACACCACACCGCCCCCAUAUUGACCAGCCACUACUGCUACAGAGACACAUGGAGGUGGUCAGAUGGGACUAUCGCUUCCAACCUACCAGGGGCUUCGGGAGCACCCAAUAAUUAUGGCGGAGUUGAGGACUGUGCACUCAGUAUCACAACUUUCAAUGAUGUACUCUGCUACUACAUGUAUUAUUUCUUCUGUCGCACCAAUCUACCAGUGAGGGAACAGCAGGUAGUGAGACUGCAGGUGAAGUCUGAUGGCAGUGUGUUAGAUCCUGCUCAUCUAUUUUAGAGCAGGUGAAACAGAAACUGAAAGAUACACAAUGUCGUAGUAAAAGAUUCGACAGAGUCGAGUGCAAGCAGUGAAGAUUUUGAUCACAUCUACUGAAGAAACACCAGGCUUUAGAC